GACGAACGCUGGCGGCGUGCUUAACACAUGCAAGUCGAACGGAAAGGCCCCCAUCUUGGUGGGGGUGCUCGAGUGGCGAACGGGUGAGUAACACGUGGGUGAUCUGCCCUGUACUUCGGGAUAAGCUUGGGAAACUGGGUCUAAUACCGGAUAGGACCAUGGUUUAGUGUCUCAUGGUGGAAAGAUUAUUGUUUUGGUGCAGGAUGAGCUCGCGGCCUAUCAGCUUGUUGGUGGGGUAAUGGCCUACCAAGGCGUCGACGGGUAGCCGGCCUGAGAGGGUGGACGGCCACAUUGGGACUGAGAUACGGCCCAGACUCCUACGGGAGGCAGCAGUGGGGAAUAUUGCACAAUGGGCGCAAGCCUGAUGCAGCGAUGCCGCGUGGGGGAUGACGGCCUUCGGGUUGUAAACUCCUUUCGUUAGGGACGAAGCCGCACUUUUUUUGGGUGUGGUGACGGUACCUUUGUUAAGAAGCACCGGCUAACUACGUG
rnacentral:rRNA from 1 species